CUCUGACUACUACAUUAUUAAAAACACCAAGGUCAAGUCCAUAUCAAACAUUAUCAACCAUCUCUGACUACUACAUUAUUCAAAACACCAAGGUAAAGUCAAUAUCAACCAUCUCUAACUACUACAUUAUUAAAAACAGCAAGGUCAAGUCCAUAUCAAACAUUAUCAACCAUCUCUGACUACUACAUUAUUCAAAACACAAAGGUAAAGUCAAUAUCAAACAUUAUCAACCAUCUCUGACUAAUACAUUAUUCAAAACACCAAGGUAAAGUCCAUAUCAACCAUCUCUAACUACUACAUUAUUCAAAACACCAAGGUCCAGUCCAUAUCAACCAUCUCUGACUACUACAUUAUUCAAAACACCAAGGUAAAGUCAAUAUCAACCAUCUCUGACUACUACAUUAUUAAAAACACCAAGGUCAAGUCCAUAUCAAACAUUAUCAACCAUCUCUGACUACUACAUUAUUCAAAACACCAAGGUAAAGUCCAUAUCAACCAUCUCUGACUACUACAUUAUUCAAAACACCAAGGUAAAGUCAAUAUCAACCAUCUCUAACUACUACAUUAUUCAAAACACCAAGGUCAAGUCAAUAUCAAACAUUAUGAACCAUCUCUGACUACUACAUUAUUCAAAACACCAAGGUCAAGUCAAUAUCAACCAUCUCUAACUACUACAUUAUUCAAAACACCAAGGUCAAGUCCAUAUCAAACAUUAUCAACCAUCUCUGACUACUACAUUAUUCAAAACACCAAGGUCAAGUCAAUAUCAACCAUCUCUGACUACUACAUUAUUCAAAACACCAAGGUCAAGUCAAUAUCAACCAUCUCUGACUACUACAUUAUUCAAAACACCAAGGUAAAGUCCAUAUCAAACAUUAUCAACCAUCUCUGACUACUACAUUAUUCUCUGCUGACAUUUUCCUUUUCACCGUCUAGAUGAAAUACUGAAACAUCAUGUUUUGUACUUUGCUUUCAUCUUCAGAGAUUGUUUUGUUUGUCCCCAGAGGAAGAGCUGUGAUAUAAACUGUACUGAAACUGGCCAAGCAUGAAACACUAUAGUAUUGCCUUCUGAUUGUUACCAGGUACAAACAGAGUCAGUGUGGUAACAGGAACACUAACAUCCCACUGUUUGGGUCUUGUAACAUCUUAACACAAGACUGUAUUGUAAUGGGAUA